rnacentral:ribozyme from 1 species
AACACAUAAUAAAUAAAAAUUGAGUAUUUGUCCAUUUUUUUUUUUCUUUCUUUCUUUUCUUUUUUGUAUGUUACGUUAUGUCUUGGUAUGUUUUUUUUCUUAACUACGACUUCCUUUUAGAAAAAUGGGGCAGCA